GCUCUCGAACGCAGGCGGUCGACUUCAAGAGCGACGUCGACGUGCCUUCGUGGGCAGAACUCGGCGACGUCGCGCGGCUCGUAGACGACCUCAACUGCAGCGCGGAAUUUCUGCGCAACGUGCGCGAGAUCAUUGCCUUGGGUCUCGCCUGGCGCGCACUGAAUGCCUCGGCCAGAGCUUCCGGUCAGGACUACCGCCGGCAUCAUGCCGCUGGGAAUACUCGCCUGGCCAUUAGGGACGAGCAUGGCAAAGACCACCUGUACGACGCGGACCAGCUGUUCUUCCUCACGUACUGUUGGAGCAGGUGCACGCGACAUCAACCCGCGGACCUUUCGCUUGGCGUGAACUGUAAUGCAGCAGUCCGCAGCAACGCGGACUUCCGUCACGCUUUCAAGUGCAAGCUUGGCUCACCCAUGGCUCCCCGCGAAGGAUGCUAGUCUCCGACUUCUUUUGAGUUUUGAAGCCAGACUCGACGCUCUUCUAACUUUUCCUUUUCCCUUUAAUUUUUUUUUCGAUGCCAGUACUGUCACUCGUUUCUGUGUUUCAAUGGCGUUUAACGACAAAUAUCACCUUCCAAAACGUUUAUUCGCCGAACCGCCAUGUAACGACUAACAGCAAUGCAUUUAGUUGCGGUCGCUUCGGUAUUGAUCACCUUUAGUUUUCGUUUUGUUUUCACGUGACUGUCGUAUGAAGUGUGUCGCGUAACCUUGCGCGGACGAACAGACUGUCGCACUACGCCACAUGUCUUCCUUACUCUUCUCACUCUUGUUCUGUAUAAUGGCUCCCUUGUUGCACAAUCGCUACGAUAUGUGCAGUUCUUACCUGCACGGGGACGCUUGCACUGGGCUCCGCCUACGGUCUUUGUGAGACUAUUUUUCUUUGGGGCGUGAUCGUACUUUGCAGUGUGUCUGAAUUGCAACCCGAUGCGUGUAUCAUUUGCUGAGCGUGGUGUACAGACGCAUUCGAUCAGUGACACAGCUCCUAUUUGAACACGUCGUUCAGGCAGCACGAGUCGCUGGAAUUUCGUGAACUCUUACGUGGUUGCUAUUUUAGUGUGUCCUCGCUUUCUUUUCUUGUCUCUGUUGCUGCGUGAGAGCGGCGAUUCAUUUGCGCCCGCAUGAACUUCCGUUGCGUCACGAAUACGUUUAUGGGCCGUUGCUGAAUAAAUUUAACGUUGUAUUUCUC